rnacentral:rRNA from 1 species
UCUCCAACUUCGAGUCGCGCUAAUUUCAACCACACAAGGGUUACUGCCCUAUGGUGGAGGAUAACCCCGGGAAACUGGGCAUAAUACUCCAUAAGUCAGGAGUACUGGAAUGUCUCCUAACUGAAAGUUGCGGCGCCAUAGGAUGAAUCUGCGGCCGAUUAGGUAGUUGUUGGGGUAACGGCCCUUUAUUUCUCGUAAUCGGUACGGGUUGUGGGAGCAAGAGCCCGGAGAUGGAAUCUGAGACACGAUUCUUGGCCUAUAACAUAACGAAGCAGGCGCGAAAACUUUACAAUGCAGGAAACUUUUUAUUUUGGAACCCCGAGUGCCCGUCCCCCCCCGCUGUCCCGGUGUUUAAAACACAUCGGAAGAAAGGGCCGGGCAAGACCGGGGCCAGCCGCCGCGGUAAUACCGGCGGCUCGAGUGGUGACCCUUUUAUUGGGCUUAAAGCGCUCGUAGCUUGAUUUUUAAGUCUCUUGGGAAUUCUCACGGCUUUACUGUGAGGCGUCUAAAGAUACUGGGAAUCUAGGGACCGGGAAGAGGUAAAGUACUUCAGGGGUAAAGUGAAUUUUGUAUUCUUGGAGACACGAUGGCGAAGGCUCUUUACAGAACGGCUCAAAGUGAGACGAAGCUGGGGGAGUGACGGUAUAGCACCCGGUGUCCAGCGUAACUUGGCGUAGGUGCCUAAUCAGUCGGGCAAGACUGAACGGCUGGAUCGUCAGUACAUAGAUUGGGGACACACGGGGCCUUUAUCUCUAC